UAAAAGGGUCGGUUGGCUAAUUAUGCCACACUCAUCCUUGUUCGGUGAGUGCCGUAUGGCAAUCAAGACAUAUGGCCGACAUAAUUUGUGGAGCCUUAAUAGGGUUGGCCCGCUUGGUCGACCCUCUUGU
rnacentral:snRNA from 9 species